GGAGACGUCGCAUAGUCCGGCCUAGUGCACCACCCUGCUAAGGUGGAGUGGGGGAAACCCCACCGAGGGUUCAAAUCCCUCCGUCUCCG
rfam:Agreia bicolorata strain VKM Ac-1804 NODE_6, whole genome shotgun sequence.